AAGUAACAUAUUCAAUGAAAAAAAAUGGAGAUUUCAAGAAAUUCUUCUCUGCAAUUGGCAUUUUUGUUGGCAUUUUUAAUCAUUGUAUCAGAUAUGCAUAUGGAAUUGCAGGCCGUGAGAGUGACAGAGGAGUUAGACUCAAGCUGUAACACACCUCAAGAUUGUAUUAGGCAAAAAUUUCCAUGUCCAUCCCCACUUAUUGUCGUAUGUGUUGCCCACCAUUGUUCAUGUACACACCUUCAACCAACAUCAACCAAUAAAACUCCUAGUCCAAUACCUUCAAUUACAAACUGAAUAAUGGAUUAGUUGCUGUAUUUGGAUGAGAAUAAUACAUAAAGUCAUAAUAAGAAAGGGUGAGAUUGCUUCA